ACAACACCACAUACACACACACACACACACACACCACUCACACAUAAGCACACAUGAUGGCACUACAACGCAGCGCAACCUUCUGUGUAUAAGCGGUUGUGUUAAAAUGCUGUUAAUUACGUAAGAAUAUUUGUGGAUUUAUUCGCCGACAUCAUUUACCAAGAUUCUGACCACCACCACCACCACCACCACCACUAUAAUUGCUACAAAAAUGAUUGCCUGGAGACAGAUUCAGACAUGCACUAUGACAGACAGCCUGGGCAGCAAGAGUGACCAUUCGGGCCACUCUGUCAUCCAGGCUGGUCUCCGUGCCCGCAUGGAUGUGGUGUGCGUGGUCGACCUCAUCUUCCCCGAGCACCUCCACCACAGGAAGCGUGCGUGGGAUGAGGUCAGGAACAGCUGUGCGGCCAUCAAUGCCAACUGCCACCACAUACAGUUUGAGAAGCUGGAUUUUGGGGAGACCAAUGUCCUGGACCAGUUUUACAACGCUGACGUGGCCAUCGUGGACAUGUCAGUGAGCCUCCAGCAGCACUCUCUCUUCUACCACCUGGGUGUGCGAGAGAGCUUUGACAUGAAGGAGAACAUUCUGCUGUACAACGACAACGACUCUGAGGUCACCGUCCCCCUCAAGUUCUCGUGCAGCAACUACGUGUUCAUCUCGUACCGGCUGCUGGACACGGGGCUGUGCGUGCUCACCGACCCCAGCACACGCAUUGGAGCGGAGGACACCAUGCCCUCAGAGUCCCGGGUGCUGCUCUCCACAAAGCUGCGUCGCCACCUGCAAGAUGUUGAAAUACAGUCCAAAGCUCAUAUGAAGGAGAAGUUUCUGGCCGACCUGAGGAAGGCGCGGGAUGUGUUCUCCGGGGAGGAACUGAAGAAGCAGCUGCACAAUCUUCGCCGACGUCUGGAUGACCCAAAUAUUCUGUCCAUCGAUGUGGUCCUCAAUAUGCUCAUAUCCCUGCGAGAGAUUCAGGACUACGACGCAAUGGUGCAGCUGGUGGAUGACCUCAAGACCAUCCCGAACCGCAAGCUUUACACCAGCACACCCGCCAUCCGGUUCCUCUACGGUUUUGCCCUUAACAGGCGCAACAUGGAGGGGGACAGGGAGAAGGCGCUGGCUGUCAUCACCCGUGCCCUGGAAAAGAAGGAGAAUGAGGUGCCUGAUAUGGUGUGUUUGUGUGGACGCAUCUAUAAGGAUAAGUUUGUGGAAUCUCAACACACAGACCAGGAGAGCCUUCGUAAUGCCAUCUUUUGGUACCGCAAAGGCUUUGAGGUGCAGCCCAACGAGUAUGCUGGCAUCAACCUCGCCACACUGCUUGUAAUAGAUGGCAACGACUUUUCCAAAUCGGCCGAACUUCAGCACAUAGGAAUGGUCCUCAACAACCUCAUUGGCAAGAAGGGGUCACUGUCAUCACUGCAAGACUACUGGGACGUGGCCACCUUCUUUGAGAUCAGCGUGUUGGCAGAGGAUUAUGGAAAGGCGGUGCAGGCAGCUGAGUGCAUGUUUAGAUUGAAGCCUCCUAAUUGGUACCUCAAGUCCACCAUUGGCAACAUCAUGCUCAUUAACCGGUUCCGUAAGAGGCCGGAAGACUGUGAGGCGAGUCCAGAGGAGAAAAUAUUUAACUUCUGGAUCGAGUACUUUGUCGAGGCCACCAAGACGGAGUUGGGGGACAUGAUUCGCUUCCCUUUGCUGAUUCUGGAGCCAAGCCGCAUGUACCAGCCUAGCUACUAUCUGCCGAGCUACGUGACAGUGAACCUGGGUGCCGAGGAGAAGAGCCUGCAGCUGUACAACCUGUGCAUUGAGCAGAUGAAGGGCACAUGUCGCCAGGUGCACUACUGGCUCUUCACCGCCUCCAGCAUCAAGAGCAUCACGCUGUACAAGAGGGACGAGAGGGCAGUGUUCCUGUAUGUGCAAGAGAACUCAGACGACUUCCAGAUGUUCUUCCCUUCAGAGCAGUGCCGCCUCACCUUCUUCAGGCUAGUGCAGGAGCUUACUGCCGACCAGAAGGGCACCGUCAUGGACCUGGAGGCUGAGAUAUCUGGACCAAUACAGUACGAGUAUGAGAUGGAUGACACCGGAAAGAGGAUUGUACUGGGUAAAGGAACAUAUGGAGUGGUGUACGCUGCCAGGGACCUCAGCACUCAGGUCAGGAUAGCCGUCAAGGAGGUGCCAGAGAAAAACAUUGGGGAAGUACAACCUUUACAUGAAGAAAUCCGGCUUCACUCCGAGCUGCAGCACCGGAACAUUGUAAAGUACCUGGGCACAGCUUCGGAGGACGGCUACUUCAAGAUCUUCAUGGAGCAGGUGCCGGGUGGGUCCCUAUCGGCGCUGCUCAGGUCUAAGUGGGGCCCCCUGAAGGAGAGCGAGGCCACGGUGGCUUACUACACCAAGCAGAUCCUGGAGGGCCUCAAAUACUUGCACGACCAGAAGAUUGUGCACAGGGAUAUCAAGGGUGAUAAUGUUCUAGUCAAUACAUAUACUGGGGUAGUGAAGAUCUCAGACUUUGGUACCUCCAAGCGUCUGGCAGGGGUCUGUCUCAGCACAGAGACCUUCACUGGCACCCUGCAGUACAUGGCCCCAGAGGUCAUCGACAAGGGUGCCAGGGGAUACGGAGCGCCGGCUGACAUCUGGUCCCUGGGGUGCACAGUGGUGGAGAUGGCUACUGGUAACCCUCCCUUCAUUGAGCUGGGGUCCCCUGAGGCUGCUAUGUUCAAGGUGGGGCUGUACAAGAUGCACCCAGACAUCCCAGAGGAGCUGAGUGAGAAGGCACGCAGCUUCAUCCUGCGCUGCUUUGAGCCAGACCCCAACAAGAGGGCCACCGCUGCACAGCUCCUUGAGGACACCUUCCUGACUGACCUGGGCCGCAAGAAGAAAGGCGCAAGACUCACCAACCAGCAGGAGUUUUCACGCAGCAUCUCAGUGCCGGCAGAGCGCACAGUGCGGCCACACGGGGAGAAGUGCCGCAUUGCCAGCUCUCCCGACGAUGCUGUAGAGCUCGGGUACGGGUAUGGCUCUCGGUGCAACACAGCCGGCAGUCCUAGCAUCUCCCCAGCCUCCCCCUGCUCCUACCUCUCAUCUCUCUCGUACACCAGCUCUGUCAUGACUGGCUCAGACCUCGACGACUCACUCAUGACUCGUCGCUCAUCCAAUGGUGGCCUGCUGUCUCCUGAGGUUGAUUCCCCGCGCACUGAUGGGGAGCAGGACGGCUUCUACCUGCUGAAGAAGGACUCUCAGCGCAGGAUGACUCUGACCAAGGUGUUGAUGCACGACCAGAACAAGAUCACGCAGGUCUGGUACCACCGCCUGCUGCAGGAGCUCGGCACAGACAAGCUUCUCCUCACUCAGGAACACCUCCAGAAAAUCAUGGUGGGGCUGCGAGAGUUCAUCCCAGAGCACAAGAAGCUUCCCAUCGAGCAGGCCUUUGCUUCCCUGCGGGAGGAGAUCAGCUACGAGGAGGCUGUCAACCAGAUCAACCUGGCUCUCGGUAUCUUCCAGGAUGCUGUGAAUGAGGUGCUGAAGAGCAACAGCAUCAAGCCACACUGGAUGUUUGCGCUGGAUGACUUGCUGCGCAGCGCUGUGCACUGUGCCAUCACUGUGCUCUCCCCAGAGCAUGAGGAGCUCCUGGGCCCGGCAGAGGCAGUGGGCGGCGUGCUGGAGCGGCCUCGGGAUGCAGUGGAGGAGGGCAGCACCUCGGGAGUGUCCACCAUCAACUCCACCAAGUCUGCCAAGCUGCUGCGGGACCUCCACCACUCCAAGCACUGCCACCACCUGCAGGACAACCUCCAGGCAUCCCGGGUGGAGAACCUCAGGCUGCUGGAGGAGCUGUACCUCUCAGAGAAGCGCUAUGGGGACCUGCUCAAGAUGUUCCUCUCGGAGCGGCAAGAGCAGAGCCAGCACCUAGCGGACCAGAUGGGCGUGCCCCUGCCACCCCUGGGUUUGGGGGCCACCAGCACCCCUGCCGGGAAGAGGCUUUGCCAGGAGGAGGGCAGUGCCUCACACUCCUCUGCCAGCACAGUGGACUCCACCUGCAGUGCCACCACCAUGACAGCCGAGUAUGUGGGGCAGGAGGUGAAGCAAGCACUGUUGUUGUUGUUGACGACAAGUGUCUCCCUCCCUGCAGAGUGCCGCUGCCUCGCCUGCCAUGCCCCCGCUGCCACCGGACACACCCAUGGUGCACGUCUCCUCCCGCAACAUUGACAUGGAGCUCGUCCUGUGGCUGCAGAAGCUUGGCAUCGACCGUGAUGUCAUUGACAAGUUCCUGGCUGAGGACUACACCAAGGAUGAUGUCCUCUGCUGGAUGAGCCGUGAGGACCUGCAGCGGAUGAGGAUGAGGGGUGGCGUUGAGCUCCGCAUCUGGCGCAGCAUCGUGCAGCACCGCCGGGAGCUGGGGCUGCCCAUCAACCCUGAGGAGUGUGGCGGCAACAGUGGCAGCAGUGGUGGCAGCGGCAGCAACAAUAGAGGUGCAGCUUCCCCCUCCUCCUCCUCCUCCUCCACCAGGAAGAAGGAGCCUCCACCUCGCUCCACCAAGCUGUAGACUUGCCAGUUGUCCCUCCCUCGGGUCUUCUUGUGUCUUCUUGCCACCAUAUUCUGAACCAAAAAGUGUGAAUAUGUGAACUGUGAUAUCUCAGCCACACCCAACACGGUGAGGGUGGCACAGCGUGGGGCAGCGGGCGGGGCAUGUAGGUAUCCUGCUGGCUGCACUACCAGGCAUUACUUGCUUUACUCCAGUUGCCUCAGGUCACUGGAAACUCCUUACGGAAACUCCCUAUGGAGGCUCCUUACAUGAACGCUCCUCGGGCUUCCCUACACGUGUGAGGCAGCAGGGACAAGUAGUGUGGUGGGUGAAGUGCUGGUGAUGUGCCUGCUCCGUGGGGACGCUGCCUGCUGCUGCUUGCGGUGUGGUGUGAGCAGGGCAGCGGGGCAUGAGCUGUGGUGCUGCUCAGUCCCACUCCAAUGCAGCAAACGGUUUACUUUACAUAGGACAAUUAACUAAGCCUUAUUAACUAGGACUUGCUUGCAAUUACUGGUGCUGUAGAUGCCUUAACCUCCUCCUGUUUGUAUAUGAGUUAAUGCUUGUAUAUAUUUGAUAGGUCUGCUGAAGGAUUUUUUGUAUAGCUGCCUUAGGAACGUUAUGCCUGCCGGACUGGUGGUGUAGCGUUGUGUCUGAACAGUCAGUUUUCCGAUGUAUUAGUAGUAUUAACUGAGUACUAGACCUGGAGGGAACAAGCUAUCAGAGAUGUAGUUUGUAGGACUAGAUUUCAUAGUGUUGAAUUUCAGAAGUUUAAUAUAUUCAUAGGUACUAAUGUUAAAGUUUUAAAAGUAUAUAAAAAAAAGCAGCAGAAACUAAAAGAUGCUGCAACACAAAUUUUAACACAACAUACUAACGCUACCUGAGACAGACACACACACGCACACAUACAUACAUACAAUUUAAUCCCUUCCAGCCAGAACCUCAGCUAGCGUUUUGGAUUCAGAAACAGAGAGAAGCAUUUUAAACCAUCCAAGAGCCACAAAAAAAAAGACAAAAAAACAAGACAAUCAUAAAAGGGCCACAAAAAAAAGACAAAAGAUUAAAAAACAAAAAAAAACAAGACCUUCUUUGACAGAGGCCCACAAAAAAAGACAAAAGAUACACGAAAACAAAAAAAAAUUACUAAAAUGUGUAUAAGAAAGAAUCCAGUGUUUGGCGCCCAAACUUACCAUUUUAGUGAACAUUGCUGGAUAGGUUGAAGAGUUUAAUGAUUUACUUAUGUUGACUGAAAUGCUGAAAUACCAUAGGAGAAGUACACAUCAGGCUUCUGAGGUCUUAUGGCGCUGGAAAGAAGAGAGAGAGAGAAGUAGAUGGGAAAGAGAGAAGAGUAGGAAAGGAGUAGAGAGAAAAAUACUGUUAUAUUAUAUGGAGGACUUGAAUGUGAUAAACUUAGCAAGAGAGAUUAGGGGAAAAUGAUUAGGGUAGGUAGUGGACUUUUAAAGUGAUGAAUGGGAAAGAGAGAUUAAUAAGUUAAGUUAGGUGGAGGACAUGACUGUGGUAAAAUAUUGAGAUUAACUUGGCAAGAAGAGGGACUCAUAAAGGACAUGGGAGAGAUGAGGGGUGCAAGAGAGGAAGGAUGAGCAAGGCAGCAGGGGAAGCAUGCAUACUUAUGUUCAGCACCCACCAUGACCUGCAAUGUCCUGGUGUGGCUGGCUGACAGCUGGCUGGGAGUGGCUCUUGUCUCAUCCAGAUACAAGUGAUCUGAAACUUUACAUUUUACUUAGUUUACCAUGAGCUAUUUUAUCUUAACAGGCAGGAAUAACUUUUGUAAAUAUACUUUGUUUUUAACUCAUAGUGAGACUAGCUGAAUUGUACUUUUUUUUUUACUUUUACUUAGUUCUCUGUUAUAUACUAGAAAUAUAACUUGCCCAGAGGAAGAGACCUGGAGGAGGUGUGGCCAGACUGCAGGGUGGAGAGGCCUCACCUUCUGGCAGUGGAGGGCAGAUACUCUUGAAUUCUCAGCGCCCAGAGAUGGGUAAACUCUCUGGGGUCUUGCAUCUCAUAGUCGUAAUAAGACAAAACAGGAUCACGGGGACAGCCUUCCCUGCCCCGUGGAUAAAAACAAUUGUUGUAGUACAAAUGAAGAGGCAAAAUGUUCUGAUCUGGCUUUGCACAAGGUGACGUUAACACGACAGAACUCCAGCUUCUUUUUGCCACUUCUUGUGUUGAAGUAGCAGUGGUUUUCUUUGGCUCAACCUUAUUUUAGCAAGAGAUUAUAUCUGUAAAUAAUGUAAAGAGAAAAAAAUACCUGUAUAUUGAAGCAAAACCCAAACUCUGGACUCCCAAGGGUGUUGAGUGGCACGGCAGUGUGCGGUCGCCCUGGGAGCUGUGGGUUGGGGCGCCGUGUGGCCGCCUCCCAAGGGCUGAAGCAUCAGGGAUUUGCACAUCCAGUACUAGAGUUUUGCCUGAGGUUGUCAAGUGCCAUGAAGAGCAGCAAUGCUAAGGAAAGAGAGGCGUAUUGCAAUAUUACUGUAGUGCUUCAAGCCACAUGGGUCAACACAAUGCUCAAUAAUCUUGCCGAACCAUGCUGUGGUGACAAGAUUCAUCCGGGACGCAUGGCUGCACCUCACUGCCGCCACUGAGGACAGCACUGCCACGUGUCACUGACUUGCUGAUUCAGGAGUGACAGAAUUGCACAGGGUGUGUGCUGUGCCCACACCCUAACAAGCACAUGUCGUGCACACACACACACGCUUGCAUUUGUGGCAACAAAUGCACUCCUUACCUCUGUGACGUGGUGGUCCCGCAAUGCAACGCUUCACCAUAGUCUGAAUUUAAGUAACUUUUAAGUGCAAAUUUUAGUCAGCAUUGGUAUGUGUAAUUUUUCAGUGCAGAUACUAAUAUAAUUUUAGUGAAAAUUUGCUUGAACUUUUUGUGUGGCACAAAAUUGAACUUGGCACAAGUGAUGAGGUGCAGUUCCUAGCUGGUGGCGGCGGCAGCGGCAGUCUUGGCGACGCGACAUUAGUGCAACUAGAGGCGGUGCCACGCGCGAGUGGCAGCGGCGCGCCUCACUGUCUGGGAAAUGUGACAGACUUCAGCCCACAGACUGUCCCUGGAAGAAAAUGGGAUGUUGACCAAAAAGACGUCACUCUCCACAUGCCUCACACACCCGCUGUGUGGCGGCGCGGCGCGGGUGUGUCUGCCGUGACGUGCUGUGUGUUUGUUCAGGGAUUUUAUCAGAAUUGUGUGAUGACAUUCAUGACAAAAAAAAAUGGGGAAAACAGGAACUUGUGUGUGUGAUGUGACGGCUUGUAAUGCAGUCUGUUGAGUUGGCAAUGGUCACGUGUAGAGAUUUUAUUUUGUGACAAAAUUAACUUUUGAAUGACUUUUGCAAGAUCUUUAACAGUUAAGAUUAUGUUAGAGGACCUCAUUGUUGCCGACUCAAUGGAAGUAAGGAGCUUCCUGCAGAGUUUUUGAUGUCUGUAGGUCUGCAAAUUGGAACCUUUCAAAAAGACCUAAUGUGGAAUAUUUGGCGGUAAUGUAAUGUUUGGCCGACAUGGUGCCGACAUAAACCUGCGUACAAAAUGCUGAUAUUGUUCUCUUUUUAAGGUAGACUCAUUAGUGGUGACAGCACAGCGGUGUACCAGUCAGGUGUCUUGCAGGAGCCCUAACCAUGACUAACAAACACUCAGAUCUGUGGGCACGACAUGGGCUGAGAGCUGCAGGAGGAGGAGGAGGAGGAGGUGGUGCAGGGAGGGUGAUGAGGGCUAGAUCUGUUGUCUGCAGGAGUCUCAAGCACACAAUGCUUCGGGGGCCUGGGCUGCCUCAGGGCCGGGUCUCCUCACCUUAACACGUUUCCUUUAACUAAAUCUAACCGUACAAUAACAAUCAAAAUUAACUGUAUCAAAAUUUGUGUCCAUAAUAAGCAGCGGCGUGCAAGAAGCAGUGCAUGCAGUGUUGUAUUUUGAUGCUGGUGGAAUCUCAGACUGAGGCUACAAUAAACUGUUUCCUUGA